AAUAGGCUUGGUCCUGGCCUUUCUAUUAGCUCUUAGCAAGAUUACACAUGCAAGCAUCCCCACCCCGGUGAAGACGCCCUAUUAAUCAUCAUGAUCAAGAGGAGCAAGUAUCAAGCACGCACACGCAGCUCAAAACGCUUUGCCUAGCCACACCCCCACGGGAGACAGCAGUGACAAAUAUUUAGCAAUAAACGAAAGUUCAACUAAGCCAUGCUAUAUUUAGGGUUGGUCAAUUUCGUGCCAGCUACCGCGGUCACACGAUUAACCCUAGCUAAUAGAGACCGGCGUAGAGGGUGUUUAAGAUCUGACAUAAUAAAGCUAAACUCCAUCUAAACUGUAAAACCCUAGCUAAUGUAAAAUAAACUACGAAAGUGGCUUUAAAACUUCUGAACACACAAUAGCCAAGACCCAAACUGGGAUUAGACACCCCACUAUGCUUGGCCCUAAACCUCAGUAGUUAGAUAACAAAACUACUCGCCAGAAUACUACAAGCAACAGCUUAAAACUCAAAGGACUUGACGGUGCUUUACACCCCCUAGAGGAGCCUGUUUCGUAAUCGAUAAACCCCGAUCCACCCCACCCUCUCUUGCUCAGCCUAUAUACCGCCAUCUUCAGCAAACCCUGAUAAAGGUCACAAAGUGAGCGCAAACGCCACCACCGCGAAGACGUUAGGUCAAGGUGUAGCCCAUGAGACGGUAAAAAUGGGCUACAUUUUCUAUCUCAGAAAACUCUACGAAAACCCUUAUGAAAUCUAAGAGUCCAAGGAGGAUUUAGCAGUAAAUUAAGAAUAGAGUGCUUAAUUGAACCAGGCCAUAAAGCGCGCACACACCGCCCGUCACUCCUCUCAAAUAUAUUUAAGGAAUAUCUUAACUAAACGCCCAAAUAUUUAUAUAGAGAGGAUAAGUCGUAACAUGGUAAGCGUACUGGAAGGUGCGCUUGGA
rnacentral:ncRNA from 1 species